rnacentral:rRNA from 1 species
GGGCCUGCGGGAACUGUGGUGUACUGGACACCACCAGCCGCGUGGGCGGGCGGCGAAGUCGUCCUGAUCGAGGGUGUAAGGCCUUUACUGGUGCCGGCGUGCGCGGCCGUGAUCGUUCGAGGAGUCGGGUCGUUUGGGAAUGCAACCCAAAGUGGGUGGUAAACUCCGUCUAAGGCUAAAUACUGGCGCGAGUCCGAUAGCGGACAAGUACCGUGAGGGAAGGUUGAAAAGAACUUUGAAGAGAGAGUUCAAGAGUACGUGAAACUGCCCAGAGGGAAAUGGGCGGACCCGCAAAGUCGGCCGGUGGAGUUCAGCCCGGCCGGGGGGAGGGGGCGGCCGCGGAUCUUUGGACCGCAGCGCCAUUCCUUUCCGUUCUCCGCCGCGUGCACUUUCCGCCGGCCGAGUGCCACCUCCUGCCAUGAGCCCGUCGAGGAAGUUGGCGGCGGCCUCUUUGUUGUCGGCCGCCGCAGUUACAGCCCCGCUGCGGAUCAGGCCACGCUCAAGGGGCUGAGGCACGCUCCGCGCCGCACGGGGGCCGCCGAGCCGAGGGCUGGGGUCACGACCGGCGGGGACUGGGUGACCGUGCCUACCGACCGCCCCCGUGCGACGACUCGGCGCGCCC